rnacentral:rRNA from 1 species
AUUGAACGCUGGCGGCUUGCCUUACACAUGCAAGUCGAACGGUAACAGGUUAAGCUGACGAGUGGCGAACGGGUGAGUAAUAUAUCGGAACGUGCCCAGUCGUGGGGGAUAACGUAGCGAAAGCUACGCUAAUACCGCAUACGAUCUACGGAUGAAAGCGGGGGAUCGCAAGACCUCGCGCGAUUGGAGCGGCCGAUAUCAGAUUAGGUUGUUGGUGAGGUAAAAGCUCACCAAGCCUGCGAUCUGUAGCUGGUCUGAGAGGACGACCAGCCACACUGGAACUGAGACACGGUCCAGACUCCUACGGGAGGCAGCAGUGGGGAAUUUUGGACAAUGGACGCAAGUCUGAUCCAGCAAUGCCGCGUGCAGGACGAAGGCCUUCGGGUUGUAAACUGCUUUUGUACGGAACGAAACGGUGAGCUCUAAUACAGUUUGCUAAUGACGGUACCGUAAGAAUAAGCACCGGCUAACUUCGUGCCAGCAGCCGCGGUAA